rnacentral:rRNA from 1 species
GUACCGUGAGGGAAAGGUGAAAAGUACCCUGAAUAAGGGAGUGAAAUAGUACCUGAAACCGUACGCUUACAAGCGGUCGGAGCUCCGUUUUACGGAGUGACGGCGUGCCUUUUGCAUAAUGAUCCUACGAGUUACUCCUCACUAGCGAGGUUAAGUCCUUCAGGGACGCAGCCGAAGCGAAAGCAAGUCUGAAUAGGGCGUUUAGUUAGUGGGGGUAGACGCGAAACCCGGUGAUCUACCCAUGGCCAGGUUGAAGCUCUGGUAACACAGAGUGGAGGACCGAACCAGUUGACGUUGAAAAGUCUUUGGAUGAGCUGUGGGUAGGGGUGAAAGGCUAAUCAAACUGGGAAAUAGCUCGUUCUCCCCGAAAUGCAUUUAGGUG